rnacentral:rRNA from 1 species
GACGAACGCUGGCGGCGCGCUUAACACAUGCAAGUCGAACGGAAAGGCCUGCUUUCCCUUGUGGAUUGCGGGUACUCGCGUGGCGAACGGGUGAGUAACACGUGAGUGAUCUGCCCCCAACUUGGGUAUAAGCCUGGGAAACUGGGUCUAAUUCCCGAUAGGACUGCAGGGUGGUGCCUGUGGUGGAAAACGAUUUUCUAGUGGUUGGGGAUGAGCUCGCGGCCUAUCAGCUUGUUGGUGGGGUAAUGGCCUACCAAGGCGGCGACGGGUAGCCGGCCUGGGAGGGUGGACGGCCACAUUGGGACUGAGAUACGGCCCAGACUCCUACGGGAGGCAGCAGUGGGGAAUAUUGCACGAUGGGCGGAAGCCUGAUGCAGCGACGCCGCGUGGGGGAUGACGGGCUUCGGGUUGUAAACUCCUUUCGACCGCGAGGAAGCCACCUGGUUGGAAGGGUGGUGACGGUAGUGGUAGAAGAAGCACCGGCUAACUACGUG